rnacentral:tRNA from 1 species
GUCUUCGAUGCGAUGGACCAGGUCGGCCCAUUCCUGCUGGGCGGUGAGGGCGUUGCUGAGUCCGCCCGGUCCGACCUCGGGGAAGAGCC